CACACACACACACACACACACACACACACACACACACACACAAUUAAGACCCUCAUUAUGCGGACUAAUCGCCGAGUUUGUGGCAACUUCAAUUUUUUUCAUUAUUAAUUUUUGCGUUCUGCUGUAGUAGUAGUAGUAGUAGUAGUAGUAGUAGUAGUAGUAGUAGUAGUAAAAGUAGUGGAUUAUGUAAACGAAGGAAAGAAAGAAGAAAAAAAAUAAUUUAUAUGACAUUGCGUGCAGGUGCUUCUAACAUCAUCCCCGUAUUGACUGGGAUGGUGGUGGUGAUGUUGCAGUGGUGGUGGUGGUGGUGGUGAUGGCGGAGAUGGUGAUGACUGCGGCGGUGGAAACUGGAGCCGUGACUAUGGUGGUGGUGGUGGUGGUGAGGUGGUGGUGAGAUAGUGGUGAGGUGAGGUAGUGAAUGGGUGUGUAUACAGUGAGGUCAUUCAUAGUGUAAGGGAGAGUGAAGGGGGGGAGGCAAGAGAGGGAGGGGAAGGUCAGGUCAGGCAGCAAGGAAGAGGAGGAGGAGGAGGAGGAGGAAGGGGGAAGCCGAGGGUAUAUAAAGGAUUCUAGCAUAGCCCUGAUCUUUCUCUCUCAGUCUCUCUCAGUUUACCUUUGACCGUGGAGAGGGACGGACGCACAUCUCCCUCUCUAAGUCGCUUCCUCAUACUCGUGUGUUACAAAGUGUGACUUAACGAGGAAUACAGAAAAAGAAUAGAAACGAUACACAGAAUUUAAAGGGAUUACAACUGUUGAAAGUAUUACGUGCAGAACAGAACGAUAGAAAAACCAGCAUAAUAGACACCACAAUCUCCUGACAGUAAAGGGAAAACGUUGUAGAAGACACAUUAAAGGUAGAAAAAAGAAGAAAAACACACUGAUAUCGAUAUAUACAGAAUUUGAAGGAAAUACAACUGUUGAAAGUAUUACGUGCAGAACAGAACGAUAGAAGAACCAGCAUAAUAGACACCACAAUCUCCUGACAGUAAAGGGAAAACGCUGUAGAAGACACAUUAAAGGUAGAAAGAAAGAAGAAAAACACCUUGACAUUGAUAUACAGAAUUUGAAGGGAAUACAACUGCUGGAAAUAUUACGUGCAAAACAGAACGAUAGAAAAAACAGCAUAAUUUAGACACCACAAUCUCCUGACAGUAAAGGGAAAACGCUAUAGAAGACACAUUAAAGGUAGAAAGAAAGAAGAAAAACACAUUGACGGAAACAUUAAAUUUCUAUUAUCUGUGUUGAUUAAUAAACAUUGCAUCAUUUUCUUGACAGUGAAGGGAAGACUCUGUUAAACCUUUUGCAUACGAAGAGAAGAGAAAAAGUAACAAAGAGAAGCCUUGAGACAUUCUAUUCUUUUAACAGUGAAGGGAAGACUCAUUUAAACCUCUUACCAACAGGAUAGAAAAGUAUAAACCAAACAAACGAAGCUGACGACUUGUGUUGAUUUAAGACGUUGCAUUCUUUUAACAGUGAAAGGAAGACUCAGUUAAACCCUCUUACGAACAGAAUAGAAAAGCAUAAAAAAACACUGACGGAAACACUUCAAUAUAAACUUGUGUUGCCCCGCGUGUGAAGGGAAACAAGACCAGAGGGAAGGAAAAAGUGUUCGUUCGUGAGUCUGUCCUGUGUUGACGCGUCCCACAAUGCCGCUCAAGAAGUACAUUCGUGCCCCGGUCGAGGAGGUCCCCAGCAUUAAGGAGAAACUUGCCUUCUUCGAGCAGCGAGGGCGAGGUAACAGGCAGCCUCACUCACACCUCUUACCCUCCCUCGUCCUCGUCCUCUCGUCCCACUCCCUCCCUUCGUCCCUAGCCCUCUUUUACUCCCUUUCUGAGCAGCGAGGCCGAGAUAAAACUCAACUCCAGUCUCCUUAUAAAUCCUCAGAUCUAGUCCUUUUAACUCCUCCUCCUCGUCUUCGUUCACUCGUCCCACUGCACUCCCUUCGUCCCUAGCCCUCUUUUCCUCCCUUUCUGAGCAGCGAGGCCGAGAUAAAACUCAACUCCAGUCUCCUUAUAAAUCCUCAGAUCUAGUCCUUUUAACUCCUCCUCCUCGUCUUCGUUCACUCGUCCCACUGCACUCCCUUUGUCCCUGUCUUUUUUACUCCCUUCUGAGCAGUGAGGAGGAGAUAAAACUCAACUCCAGAAUCCUUUUAAACCCUCAGAUCUAGUCCUUCUAACUCCUCCUACUCCUCGUCCUCGUUCUCUCGUUCCACUCCCUCCCUUCGUCCCUCGUCCUCUUUUACUCCCUUUUCUGAGCAGUGAGGAGGAGAUAAAACUCAACUCCAGAAUCCUUUUAAACCCUCAGAUCUAGUCCUUCUAACCCCUGCUCCUCCUUGUCUUCGUCCACUCGUCCCACUGCACUCCCUUCUUCCCUCGUCCUCCUGUACUCCCUUUUUGAGCAGCGAGGACAAGGUAAAUCUCCAUCUCACUCUCCUUAUAGAUCUUUAAAUAUGGCCUCCUACCCUCACGUCCUCCUCCUCCUCCUCUUCGUCCUCGCCUUCUGGUUCCACUGCACUUCCUCCCUUCCUUGUCCUUCUUAUUCCAUCUCUGAGCAGCAAGGAUAAGGUAAAAUCCAGCCUAACCUUCCUUAUACUCCGUCAAGAAGUUUAAUGCUCAUUACCUUCGUCCGCGACCUUAUCCUAGCCCUCGUCAUUUCCCUCCCUCCAUAUUCUCUCUUAUUCUAUUUUUAGCAGCAAGGACGAGGUAAAAUAUUGUCUAACGCUCCUUUUGUCCCUUUAAGAAACUAUAAUUAGUGUUACGUUCGGUACCUUCAUCCUCGGCCUUAUCCUGGUCCUCGGCAACUUCCUCGUUCGUUUUUCCCUUUUUUUUUUAUCUCCCUUCUAAGCAGCGAGGACGAGGUAAAACUCAUUCUCCCUAAUACCUUCCUCGGUCUCAAUUAUUUCUCCAUUCUCGUCCCAGUCCUCACUCCCUCGUCCCUUUUUCUUCCCUUUAGAACAGCAAGGAGGCAGUAAAAAUAUGCCUAAACUUUCUUGUAGUCUGCCUUUAAGUAUUGUCAUUUAUCCUUCUUCAUCCUCGGCCUUAUCCUGGUCCUCGGCAACUUCCUCGUUCGUUUUUCCCUUUUUUUUAUCUCCCUUCUAAGCAGCGAGGACGAGGUAAAACUCACUCUUAUUCUCCCUAGUACCUUCCUCAGUCUCAGUUAUCUCUCCGUCCUCGUCCUAGUCCUCACUCCCUCGUCCCUUUUUCUUCCCUUUAGAGCAGCAAGGAGGAGGAAAAACUAUGCCUAAACUUUCUUGUAGUCUGCCUUUAAGUAUUGUCAUUUAUCCUUCUUCAUCCUCGGCCUUAUCCUAGUCCUCGGCAACUCCCUCAUUCUUUUUUCCCUUUUUUUUUAUCUCCCUUCUAAGCAGCGAGGACGAGGUAAAACUCACUCUUAUUCUCCCUAAUACCUCCCUUAGUCUCGAUAAUUUUCCCGUCCUCGUCCUAGUCCUUACUCGUCCCUUUUUCUUCCCUUUAGAGCAGCAAGGAGGAGGAAAAACUAUGCCUAAACUUUCUUGUAAUCUGCCUUUAAGUCUUGUCAUUUAUCCUUCUUCCUCCUCGUUCUCGUCCCUCUCCUUAGAGCAGCGAGGGACAGGAAUAGUUUAUCCUCAACCUUGACUACCGCUCCCUCAACUUUGCUUCUUUUCUAGUAAUCUCCCUUCAUCUCUCCAGGCUGCCUUACCUUCGUCCCCCUCCCUCGACCUCCUUGUAAUUGCUUAUUCUUCCCUCCUUUGUCUUCCCUUUCUUUCCAGUUCCUUUUCUUUCCUCUACUUCCUUACCCUUCCCUUUCCCUUUCUUCCUCCUUCUCUCUUGUCACUUCCCGCCUCGUCCCUUCCCACCCCUCUCCUCCCCUUCCCUUCCCUUCCUUACCUUUCCCUUCUCUAUUUUUUUUCCUUUAUCCCUCCCUCCCGUUUUUUCCCUUCCCUUUUCUUUCCUUCCCUUCCUUUCGCUUUCCUUCCCCUUUCUUCCUUACCUUUCCCUUUCCUUUCCCCUCUCUUCCCUUUCUUUUACCCUCUCUUCCUCCCCUUCCCUUUCCCCUCUCUUCCCUUCCCUUUCCCCUUUCUUCCUUCCCUUUCCCCUUUCUUCCUUCCCUUUCCCCUCUCUUCCCUUCCCUUCCCUUUCCCCUUUCUUCCUUCCCUUUCCCCUCUCUUCCUUCCCUUCCCUUUCCCCUUUCUUCCUUUCCUUUCCCCUCUCUUCCUUCCCUUUCCCCUCUCUUCCUUCCCUUCCCUUUCCCCUCUCUUCCCUUCUCUUUUCCCCCUCUUCCUUCCCUUCCCUUUUCCUCCCUCCCCAGCCCUUUCCACCCAUCCUGUCCCUUCCCUCCCACAUGCCCACCCCGCGUCCCUUCCGUCCCCUGUCACAGUAGUAAUGUAUCGUUGUGUCAGUGACCUUUGAAUCUAGCGUUUGUGUGUCUUCCCUCGUAGUGUUUUAGUGGUGCGUAUCAUGGCGAAUGUAACGUGGGAUUUGUUUUAUCUGUUUCGCUUUUGUGUAGAAAUGAAAAUGGGGUAGUGUUUCUGCUGUUGUUGAUCUUGUUAUGAAUGAAUUUUUACUAUUUCAUUUUUUAAUUGAUAACUUCAGUGGAUAAUAAUUUUGUUCUUAUUUUUUUUUUUCAACCUCGUGAAAUUUUAUGUAGGAAUGGCAUGAGGAAUGGUGCAUGUAUGGAAUUUACACACACACACACACACACACACACACACACACACACACACACACACACACACACACACACACACACACGCCUCGUAAAUGUUAAAGCAGACCCAACAGCCACGCUAAUAAAUCCGCUUUCCUCUCAUUACUCGAGGGACACACGACACUUAAGUUUUAUGCGUGUGUGUGACGCUCUCCAUUACAUGCCUGUCUAUCGCCCCAAGAGGUGUGUAUAGCUAUUCAUUUCGAGAGAUUUAUUUUGAACCAUCCAGUCUUAUACAGAUUCAUUCUAAGUUUAUUUUUUCUUGGUAUUAUAUUUCUCUCUAUAAUGAAGCAGUAGGAGGUGGGGUGAUAUGUGGGUCGUUUUUAUUUCUACUUUUCUUUCUACUGUUUUUUUUUUUUAUCACAUUUUUCGUUUCCCUGAUUUACAGAAAUUGUUUCGGUCACGUUGCUCCCUAAUGUAAAGCAGAAUAUUUUAUCCAGUUGGCGGUAUUUUUUUUUCUCAUUUUCGCUUCCUAUGUUUACAUGAAUGUGUUGUAUAGCCACGUUGAUAUAAAACAAUACAAAGUUACAUAUUAUCAAGGAUGUUAUGUGAUUAUUUUCUUUUAGUAACUUUUUAUUUUUGUUUAUCUCUUAUAUGCCUGCUUUACCGUAAAAAGAAAUGUACUUUCUUUAGAUAUGGGAUUAUGUAAUUUAUCUUUCCAUUUUUUGCCUGCAUGGCGCUGUGUAGUUGUGUUUGUAGUGUAUGUAUGUAUGUAUGAGUAUCUUGUGCCUGUGUUUGGUGAUGUUAUGUGUGUCACAGGUGAACGCUGCUCCUCUCCACUAACAAGCCAACACCUUUGAACACCCCUUUUCGUUUCAAGCGAGCACAAACGAACGAGCGAUAUAAUUAUGACAUUCGGCGCAAUAAUUCAACAACAAUAAACUUAAAACGUAUCCCUGAAUAAUUGGCAAACUAGAAAAAAAUGAAAAUCAAUCGGAUAAAAUUAAACGGAAAUCACACAAUCGGCAAACUGAAAAAGAAAAUAUGAAAAAAAAGAUGCAAAAACAACACCAAUUGGCACUCUGAGAAAUUCAUAGAAAACGGAUCAGAAAGAUAAACUCGUGUGUGUUGCUGAAGUGUUUGUAUCUGGGGCGAACCGUGGACUGGCUACAGACAUCCUUUUACCCUCUUAUAACCUCAAGAGGGACCCAUUGGCUUCAGAUAGGGCUGAGUACUGGUGCAUUUAUGUCCCCUUGAAGGUAUAGGGUGAAGGGAGAAGGGAGAGAGGAAGAGGUGAGGGGGGGAGGAGAAGGGAGAGAGGAAGAGAUGUAGGAAUGAGGGAGAAGUGCAAGGUGAAGAGCUGAGGGAGUUACGGGAGGAAGGGAAGGAGGAAGAUGUGGGAUAGAUACGAGAAGGGAGAGAGGAAGAGGUAGAGAUAUACGGGGAGAAUGGAGAGACGAAGAGGUAGGGAGAUACGGGGAGAAGGGAAGAAGAAAAGAGGUAGGAAGUUACGAAUGAAGGGAGAGAGAAAGACAUGAGAGAGAUACGGGGAGAAGGGAAGAAGAGAAGAGGUAGGAAGAUACGAGAGAAGGGAGAAAGUUGUGAGAGAGAUACGGGGAGAAGGGAAAGAGUGAGAGAUGAGGAUGGGAGGAGAAAGGAAGAGAGGAAAACAAAUAAGGGAGAUGCGGAAAGACAUGUAGGGUGAAAAGGGGGAGGAAGAGGAAUACGUAGGGAGUAAAGGAAGGAAAUGAGGAAGAAUUGUAUUAUGUAGAGCCUGAGCAACCGUGUAUAUGAAGGGAAGAAACAAUAGCAUAACAAAAUAGGUUAAGGUACAAGAAUAAAACAUGUAGGGACAGGAGGAUAAGGGUGAAGUAUGCAUUUAGUAAGGGUGACGGGUAAAGGGUAGUAGGCUAAGAGGAAGGCUUGAGGGAGAAGAAUAUCGAGAAUACACAUACGUAGAAGGAUAAUGUUUAAAAAAGUCUACGGUUCGCUCCAGCCACACUUCACUACUGCUCCUUCCGCUGUCUUCGUUAUGUGAUAUGUUGAUUUAAUUUGACACACACACACACACACACACACACACACACACACACACACACACACACACACACACACACACACACGGUGAAACAAACAGCAUAGACGUGUUUGUGUGUCAGGAAGCCAAGGAUGCAUGGCGUUUUGUUACGUUAUCUUUGUAUUUUUAAGGAUUGGUACCAAAAAUAUUCUGUGCUGUAUGACAUAAGAGUAAAAGUAACGAACAUCCCACUGUAGAUUUAACUUUACGCUUGUUUAUUUUAAGUUUAUUGAACAUGUUAUUCAUAUAGAGAAACAUAGUUGUGAGUCUAUAUAAGGUAGUAUAUAGUAACUUAGAUGACUUAAUGUAUAAUAAAACUAGAAAUAAC